UCCACGCCACAGGAACCCAGAAAAAAGCAGGAGUAGCAAUCUUAUUUGCAGACAAAGUAGAUUUCAAACCAAAACUAAUUAAGAGACAAAGAUGGUCACUGCACCCUUGUGAAGGGCACAAUGCAAGAGGAAGAGAUGACAAUCCUAAAUAUAUAUGCACCAAAUUCGAAUGCCCCUAAGACAUAAUGGUUUAUUUAUAGGAGAAAUCCCAAAAGGGUGGUACCAAUUAUCUCAGGCUUCUGUUUAUUACCUAGGGAAGCAUGCAAAUCUGGCCAUUGUGACUUUAAUCUUCUUCAGAUGCACCUCCAGCCACAGUUCCAAUGUGUUCUCAUCCUCUGCACUGACUCCCUCAAGGGUCCAGUCCUGUCUGACUGCCUACCAAGAGAGGGACCCAGAUGAAGCCACUUUCCAGCCCCUUCUCCAAGGCUCAAGGCCUGUGAGUGAAGCCAGGUAUACACCGCCAAGCAGCCCUAGUUGGCCUGAUGGGAGCACAGGACUGGGAACUGGACUCAGGCCCUUGUGGAUGCUAGACAAGCGCUGACAGACUGGAGCCAGAGAGAAGGAGCCAUGGUCCCACAGGGAGGCUGCGUUGCACUGUGGCCAUGGGCAUGGAGAAAAGGGAACCGAGGAGGAACAAAGGACGAGUGCCAAUCUGCGUGGCUAGUGUCUGUUUCCUGUAGGACAUAAUAUUUUGAAAGAUGAUUAAAUAUUGCCUGCUUUUUACUUUGAGAGUCUCGGAUAAAGGACUCAUUUUCAAAGAAGAGAGAGAGAUUGAUCUAAAAGUUAAGACCUCAGGGUGUCUGAGGGAGGGCGUUCAUUCAUGCUCACCAUCUGAAAGAGAAGCUGCUCUCUACAGAUUGCAGAUGGGAGGUCCUGACAGGGACACAGACUGUCAGCCCAAGCAGUGGACCCUGAAGGCAGAAAGAAGGGCAAAGUGCCUCCCUGGGAACAAGACAGCUGCAGCCACAGAAGAAAUGGAGAUGAACUGAAACACCCAGAGGGUUAUAGGGCUAUAAGGAAAGAUGGGCCCAGCUCUAAAAAGAAUCAGAGAAAAGGAAAAUAAAAAGCCUCUGGAUCCAGGGAACAGAAUUGGGACACAGUAGCGGGGGAAUGAACCAGUUUAUAAUAUCAUGCCGUGUGAGACCAUGCCCGUGCUGAGAAACCGAGCUAGGCACUUACCUGCCUCAGAAGCACAGCCAGUUUGGGGGUGCUGUCAGCUGGGUGGGGAGCUGCUUCUAGAGCAAGGUGAGCCUACACAUCCAAACUGUGCACGGCCAGUGUCAGACCCAGUACCUUCCUGUUCAUGUCACUGAGGGACAUCGAUCCCAGUCAUUCUCUGAUGAAUUGUUUUAGUAAAUUUAGUAAAUUCUUUUAGUAGUCCCAGAGCCCAGAAGGAAUUCAUGUGGAACUUUUAAAGAAGGCCACUCUCAGAACUAAUCAUAACCUAGGGCUGGGGACUUAGCUCAGUGGCACCAAGCUUGUCUCACAACCGCAAGGUCCUGAGUUCAAUCUCCAGUACCAGAAAAAAGAAAGAAUUAAUCAGGGGCCGGGGAUUUAGCUCAGUGGUUCUGAUGCCUGCCUCACAAGCACAGGGUCCCGAGUUCAACCCCUGGUACAAAAAAAAAAGAAAGAAAGAAUUAAUCAUAGCCUAAUGUACAUUUCCCAGAGAGAGUUUCCUGUGAUGUAUGAAUACCCUUCUACAUUUUCUUAGCUAUGGAUGGGAAAAGAAUUUUCUGCCCACACAUCUCGCUGAUUAAUUGAAUCUCUUCUUCAGAUCUUUGAAUGAAACAUUUUAAAUAUAUUUCCUUUAGAAAUAAAAGUAUGAAGCACUUUAAAUUAUGUGUCAAAGAAGUCAACUCUCUUGAGAGUUAAAUGGAAAAUUCUUUUCACUUAUCAGGUACAGAAUCAUGGAAAUAAAACAUCAAAAAUAGAAAAAAAAGACUCAUUUUCAUAAUUUGGAAAGUGAGGAACUGUCUGUAACUCAAUAUCCCCACAGGGAAAACUGGACACAGUAAGGUUACUGGAGUACACACUUAGCACAAGACAUGGAAUACUUUAGCGUUUUCCUCCUCUUCGUAUUUGUGGCACUGGACCACCUACAAUGGCUUCCAUUAUUUCUGCCUCAAAGUCAGGACCCCAGCUGCAUUUUACGAUCAGACACAUCUCAAGAUUUUUAUUUUUUCUUUUGUGGUACUGAGGAUUGGAUCCAGAGCCCUUAUACUGAGCUACAUUGCCAACACUUUUUAAAAAUUUUAUAUUCUGAGCCAGGUGAGGUGGCAUGUGCUGGUAAUCCCAGCCCUUGUGAGGCUGAGGCAGGAAGAUCACUGAGUUUGAGGCCUGUUUGGACUACAUAGUGAGUUCAAGACUAGCCUGAACUACAUAGUGAGAACUUGCCUCAAAAAAAUCAAAAAUAAAUGAAUAAUAAUUUUUUUUUGUAUCAUGGAUUGAACUCGGGACCUUGUGCUUGUGAGGCAGGCAGUGGAACCAUUGAGCUAAAUCCCUAGCAUAAAUAAUAAAAUUUUUUUUUUUUUGGUACCGGGGAUCAAACUUGGGUCCUUGGCUUGUGCAGAAUAAUAAAAUUUUGAUAUAGCAAGGCAUGGUGGCACACACCUCAAAUCCUAGCAUUCUAGAAGGCUGGGCAGCCCAGCCUGGGCAAUUUAGCAAUGUAGCAAAAACAUUAUAUAAAAAUACAUAUGUAUUUUUUGAGAAAGGGCCUCACUAUGUAAUUCAGGCUGGCUUUGAACUCACAGUGAUCCUCUUGCCUUAGCCUCCCAAGUUAUGGGAUUAUAGGCAUGCACCACUAUACCUGACUAUCCCAAGAUUUUAAAAUGUCUAUGAAAGCCAGGGGUAGUGGCGCACACCUGUAGUCCCAGCUACUCCAAAGACUAAGGUGGGAGGAUCGCUUGAGGCCGGCUGGGUGUGGUGGUGUACACCUGUAAGCCUAGCCCUUCGGAGGCUGAGGCAGGGGGAUUGCUGUGAGUUUAAGGCUAGCCUGAACUAUAUAAAGUGAGACUUUGUAUUUUGAGGUCAGUCUGGACAAUGUAGCAUGAUGCUAUCUCAAAAAUAAGUGAGUAAUUUUGGCUGGGGAUUUAGCUCAGUGGAUCCACCACCUGCCUCGAAAGCGCAAGGCCCUGAAUUCGAUCCCCGGUACCAAAAAAAAAAAAAGUGAGUAAAUAAACAAAAUGUACAUAUAAGGCCACAGUAAAACUGAAUAAAGGAUGAGACAGAUCCUACAUAACACAUAUCUUACCUUCUAGUCUGACCAAACUUGACAAAGGAAACUUGCUGACACUUCCAAGCCUUUUCACAUCAAGUCAGUUUGCCUAGAAACCAUUCCUCAGAGGAGUUUAGGAAGCGAAGUGAAGCUUAUCUUCCUGUAAGCUGCAGCACAGAUCCUCCUCUCCCAGGGCAAAGCCAGACACACCCUCCUUUCCACUGCCACAGCACUCUCUAUGUUUAUCUGCCACAGCACUUGGGAUUUGUUUAUUUAUUUAUUUAUUCAUUUAGAGACAGGAGCCUCUAAAUUGCUAAAUUUCCCAGGUCGGGCUCAAACUUGUGAUCUUCCUGCUUCAGAACGCAGAGUGCUGGGGUUACAGGCCCGCACCACCAUGCCCUGUCAUCUGUUUAGUAACUACUUGGCUACUUAUCUUUCCCUCCCACUGCUACUGUGAAUUAAUUAAAGGUAAAAUUUACCUUUGCUCAUUUAUUUAUCUCCUGUGCUGGGCAAGACCUUACUGAACAGAUAUGUAAAUGUUUGCUAAGCAAUAUAUGGUCAGUGUAUAAACACACAGUAAAAACCUUUAGUUAGGGAAACUGAAAUGAGAAUGGUCUACCAUUUAAAAGUUAUAGUAAAAGAAUUGGGGCAAGGAGAAG
rnacentral:lncRNA from 1 species